rnacentral:pre_miRNA from 1 species
UCUCAUAGAUAAGCAAAGCAAGUGGUUUCUUAAGAUGGAUUCUUCUCCUAGUGAAGAUGUUGUGAA